CUGGACUCCCCAAGACUGAAUGUUUCCACCUCAGGAUGCAAAAUCACAACAUGCUACAUGUACAGCUUAAAGCAUUUCAAAUGGAAUUGAAAUUUUUGAAGCUGACGAGAUUCACUCUGCUAGGGGUGAUGUUACCAAAGAAGCAAUCCAAGUGGUGACCUGCAAGUUGCAAGG